AAUGUGGGUAUCUGCCCUUUGGUUUGGAAUAACACGAGGAAACUUGUGCUAAUACCGGAUAAGCCUUCACAGGGAAAGCUUUAGCGCCAAAGGAUGAGCUCGCACUUGAUUAGCUAGUUGGUAGGGUAAUGGCCUACCAAGGCAACGAUCAAUAGCUGUUCUUAGAGGAAGACCAGCCACAUUGGGACUGAGACACGGCCCAAACUCCUACGGGAGGCAGCAGUGGGGAAUCUUGCACAAUGGGGGAAACCCUGAUGCAGCGAUGCCGCGUGAGUGAAGAAGGCCUUUGGGUUGUAAAGCUCUUUCGUCGGGGAAGAAAAUGACUGUACCCGAAUAAGAAGGUCCGGCUAACUUCGUGCCAGCAGCCGCGGUAAUACGAAGGGACCUAGCGUAGUUCGGAAUUACUGGGCUUAAAGAGCUCGUAGGUGGUUAAGAAAGUUGGUGGUGAAAUCCCAAGGCUUAACCUUGGAACUGCCAUCAAAACUUUUUGACUAGAGUAUGAUAGAGGUAAGUGGAAUUUCUAGUGUAGA
rnacentral:rRNA from 1 species